CAUUGAAGCACCGGUUCCCGUACGAUCACCGAAGUUAAGCAACGUCGAGCCUGGUCACAAUCUAGAUGAGUGACCGGUUGGGAAUACUAGGUUCUGUA
rnacentral:rRNA from 1 species